rnacentral:rRNA from 1 species
UACGUAGGGGGCUAGCGUUGUCCGGAAUUAUUGGGCGUAAAGAGCUCGUAGGUGGUUUGUCGCGUUGUUCGUGAAAACGUCACAGCUCAACUGUGGGCGUGCGGGCGAUACGGGCAGACUGGAGUACUGCAGGGGAGACUGGAAUUCCUGGUGUAGCGGUGGAAUGCGCAGAUAUCAGGAGGAACACCGGUGGCGAAGGCGGGUAGCUGGGCCAACACGUGACGCUGAUGCGCGAAAGCCAGGGGAGCGAACGGG